rnacentral:rRNA from 1 species
GAUGAACGCUGGCGGCGUGCCUAAUACAUGCAAGUCGAGCGAACAGACGCGGAGUUUGCUCCUCUGACGUUUGCCGCGCACGUGUGAGUCACACGUGGAUCACCCCCCUAUCUGUCUGGUAUAACUUGGGGACACCGGCGCUUAUACCGUAUAAUAUAUUGAAGCGUGUGGUUCGUUAGUAAAAUUCGGCUUUGGUGUCACUUCUAGCUGCUUAUCCGCCGGAUGAGCUGGUUGGUAAGUUAACGGCUUACCAAGGCAAGGAUGCGUAGCCGACCGGAGAGGGUGAUAGGCCGCACUGGAACUGAGACGCGGUCCAGACGCCUACGGGAGGCAGCAGUAGGGAAUCGGCCGCAAUGGGCGAGAGCUUGACGGAGCAACGCCGCGUGAGUGACGAAGGUCUUCGGUUCGGAAAAAUCUGUUUUGAGGGAAGAACAAAUGUGUAAGUAAAUGUGGACGUAGUGACGGUACCUAAUCAGAAAGCCACGGCUAACUACGUG